UACGUAGGGGGCAAGCGUUGUCCGGAUUUAUUGGGCGUAAAGAGCGUGUAGGCGGCUCUACAGGUCCGUUGUGAAAACUAGAGGCUUAACCUCUAGACGUCGAUGGAAACCGUUUGGCUAGAGUCCGGAAGAGGAGAAUGGAAUUCCUGGUGUAGCGGUGAAAUGCGCAGAUAUCAGGAGGAACACCGGUGGCGAAGGCGGUUCUCUGGGCAUUACCUGACGCUGAGGAGCGAAAGUGUGGGGAGCGAACAGG
rnacentral:rRNA from 1 species